AUUGAACGCUGGCGGCAUGCUUUACACAUGCAAGUCGAACGGCAGCGCGGGCUUCGGCCUGGCGGCGAGUGGCGAACGGGUGAGUAAUACAUCGGAACGUGCCCAGUAGUGGGGGAUAGCUCGGCGAAAGCCGGAUUAAUACCGCAUACGACCUGAGGGUGAAAGCGGGGGAUCUUCGGACCUCGCGCUAUUGGAGCGGCCGAUGGCAGAUUAGCUAGUUGGUGGGGUAAAGGCCUACCAAGGCGACGAUCUGUAGCUGGUCUGAGAGGACGACCAGCCACACUGGGACUGAGACACGGCCCAGACUCCUACGGGAGGCAGCAGUGGGGAAUGUUGGACAAUGGGCGAAAGCCUGAUCCAGCAACGCCGCGUGUGUGAUGAAGGCCUUCGGGUUGUAAAGCACUUUUGGCGGGAACGAAAAGGACUGUGCCAAUACCACGGUUCGAUGACGGUACCCGCAGAAUAAGCACCGGCUAACUACGUG
rnacentral:rRNA from 1 species